rnacentral:lncRNA from 1 species
UCGACCUUAAGUAAACCUUCACAAUUUUUAAAGCUUAUCUACUUUUAAGAUUUUUUUCUGAAUCACUAUUUGUAUUUUUAUGCUCAUGAAUGUGUUUUUUCAGGCUGUGUCAGCAGAUUUAGUUGUACUUGGGUGUGUGUCUGAAAUAACCCAUCUGGAGUUACAAUAUCAUUACCAGGAUCUAUAUUUGCUGUUGCUCCGAAGAGUUUUAUUACUCCUUACCGAGACAUCAAUUUGCGAGACAUUCUUAGUGAGCGCCAGCUCGUUGUAUGCAAGGUCAUCUCAAAAAGAGCAUCUCUUGAUAACACAUGGAGAGUUCUAGUUUCUCUUGAUCCGGCCAACGUCAAUUCCCACAUACCUCAUUAUGCGGUUGAUGUGGGUAUGUCAUUAAUGGGAGUCGUUCAAAGUGUUGAAGACCAUGGUUAUGUGAUUGACAGUGGGAUAGCUAAUCUGCGUACAUUCUUAUCCACGAAAGCUGCUGAAAAUUGGUGUAAAACCCUCAACGAAGGAAAACCUUUAGCUGUUGGCCAGUUGAUUCGGUGUUUUGUAUCAAAACGAAGCUCAAACAAUAACGCAUCUAAUGUGGAAUUGACAACAGAACUGGAUGCUUCAAAACUAGUUAUCAAUAGUAAUGUGAACAUCUCUAACGUCUUACCUGGAAGUUUGUCAACUGUUCUGUCAAAAGGGUAAGAUUUAUCAAUGAAGAACCAACAAAUAACUGUCAAAUUGUUUCUGAUUGUAAAUCAAUGGCAAGAAUGAGAUUACAUUGAUUGAUAUUGAAUUCAGAAAACUCCUGCAGCUUGAGUAUAGAAUUUAAAAAUAAUUGCUUGCACUUGAUCACUUGUAAAGAAAAUAAAUAAUACGAGGUGUCUACAAUGAAGACUGCCGAAUAUUUUAAAAAAAAAUUCUGCAAAAAAAACAAUUUAUUAGUCAUUAUACAAAAUUUAGUCGAUAUUGACUUUUUGACCUUCAAUUUAAUCACCUUGAAGUACUGUCUGUACAGUUCAUUUUUCCAGCGCUUUUGCCACUCUUUAAACAAGUGCUUAAAAGCACCCUUUGCUAGCUGUUUGAGACUUGUUUUCAAAGAUUUUUCUACAGCAGUUUUAGAGUUAAAAUCUCCAAUUUUGGCAAAAUUAUGAUGAGAAAACGUAUAUCAUAAUGCUUAAAUUUACUCUUUGUAUAAUGGCCCAUCAUCAUUGUAUGGGCUCCUUAAAUACUUAUCAUUUUUGUUUUUUCUUCAAAUUUUAGAUUUUAUCAGAUGGAGUAAAAGUCUCAGCGCAAGGCCUGCGUUGCCCUGCUUUCGUCAAUGAUCUCCACAGGUCA